rfam:Cucumis sativus cultivar 9930 chromosome 6, whole genome shotgun sequence.
UGGCGAUGAUUACAUAUUUAUCCGCGCUUCAGAGGUUAAACAAUGAAGCAAGACUAAAUAAAUGGUUGAAUUUCUUAGUAUGAGCAA